rnacentral:rRNA from 1 species
UACAGAGGGUGCAAGCGUUAAUCGGAAUUACUGGCGUAAAGCGUGCGUAGACGGUUACAUAAGUCGGGUGUGAAAGCCCCGGGCUCAACCUGGGAAUUGCAUUCGAGACUGCGUAGCUAGGGUGCGGAAGAGGGAAGCGGAAUUUCCGGUGUAGCGGUGAAAUGCGUAGAUAUCGGAAGGAACACCAGUGGCGAAAGCGGCUUCCUGGUCCAGCACCGACGUUCAGGCACGAAAGCGUGGGGAGCAAACAGGG